AUGAACGCUGGCGGCGUGCCUAAUACAUGCAAGUCGAGCGAACAGAUGAGGAGCUUGCUCCUCUGACGUUAGCGGCGGACGGGUGAGUAACACGUGGAUAACCUACCUAUAAGACUGGGAUAACUUCGGGAAACCGGAGCUAAUACCGGAUAAUAUAUUUAACCGCAUGGUUCAAUAGUGAAAGACGGUUUUGCUGUCACUUAUAGAUUGAUCCGCGCCGCAUUAGCUAGUUGGUAAGGUAACGGCUUACCAAGGCAACGAUGCGUAGCCGACCUGAGAGGGUGAUCGGCAAAACUGGAAGUGAGACACGGUCCAGACUCCGACGGGAGGCAGCAGUAGGGAAUCUUCCGCAAUGGGCGAAAGCCUGACGGAGCAACGCCGCGUGAGUGAUGAAGGUCUUCGGAUCGUAAAACUCUGUUAUUAGGGAAGAACAAAUGUGUAAGUAACUAUGCACGUCUUGACGGUACCUAAUCAGAAAGCCACGGCUAACUACGUG
rnacentral:rRNA from 1 species